rnacentral:rRNA from 1 species
CCUACGGGUGGCAGCAGUGGGGAAUAUUGCGCAAUGGGCGAAAGCCUGACGCAGCGACGCCGCGUGAGGGAUGAAGGUCUUCGGAUCGUAAACCUCUGUCAGCAGGGAAGAACGGUCACUGUGCUAAUCAGCAGUGAAUUGACGGUACCUGCAAAGGAAGCACCGGCUAACUCCGUGCCAGCCGCCGCGGUAAUACGGAGGGUGCGAGCGUUAAUCGGAAUUACUGGGGGUAAAGCGCUCGUAGGCGGUAUGUCAAGUCAAGGGUGAAAUCCCCGCGCUCAACGUGGGAAGUGCCUUUGAAACUGGCAAACUGGAGUGUGUGAGAGGAUAGUGGAAUUCCAGGUGUAGGAGUGAAAUCCGUAGAUAUCUGGAGGAACAUCAGUGGCGAAGGCGACUAUCUGGCACAUAACUGACGCUGAGGAGCGAAAGCGUGGGUAGCAAACAGGAUUAGAUACCCCUGUAGUC